rnacentral:ncRNA from 1 species
AAUGGCCCGGGUGACGUUCGUCGCGUCGGUCGCGUUUCUGCGUGACCGUUCGCGCCGAGCCCCGGUGCUCAUGGUCGGCUCGCCCGACGGCAAGAACCGUCGACGCGGCCCCGUCGCAGGCGGGGUCCCGUCGGUCGGCGACGUGUUUCGAGCUACUUUCCGACCCGUCUUGAAACACGGACCAAGGAGUCUAACGUGUGCGCGAGUCAACGGUGAUCUUACGAAAAACCACGUUUGGCGCAAUGAAAGUGAACCGUUUACGGUGCGGACGAUGGCCUAGCGACCGAACCCACCGGCGUUCAAAGUCGCGCUGGUCCGCAGUCCGGGGGCGUCUCCGCCAAGUCGGCUUCGGCCGGCUGGGGGCGCACCCUUAGCGCACACGUUGGUACCCGAAAGAUGGUGAACUAUGCCUGGCCAGGAUGAAGUCAGGGGAAACCCUGAUGGAGGUCCGCAGCGAUUCUGACGUGCAAAUCGAUCGUCUGAGCUGGGUAUAGGGGCGAAAGACUAAUCGAACCAUCUAGUAGCUGGUUCCAUCCGAAGUUUCCCUCAGGAUAGCUGGCGCCGAUGUGUCCCGCCCGUUCGCGGGCGUACGGACGCCGGUGGGACUCCGCGCUGUACGGCGCGGUAACAACACGCUCGUAACACUGGAGGAUGUCUCAUACGGUAAAGCGAAUGAUUAGAGGACAUUGGGGCCGAAACGACUUCAACUUUAUUCUCAAACUAUAAAUGAGUGAGAUCGCCGGGCUUUACCUGGUACACCGCGGUGAACC